rnacentral:rRNA from 1 species
UGAACGCUGGCGGCGUGCUUAACACAUGCAAGUCGAACGAUGAAGCCUAGCUUGCUAGGUGGAUUAGUGGCGCACGGGUGAGUAAUAUAUAGAUAAUGUGCCUCUUAGUCUGGGAUAGCCAUUGGAAACGAUGAUUAAUACUAGAUACUCCUUCUAACUCUAAUGUUAGUUGGGAAAGUUUUUCGCUAAGAGAUCAGUCUAUAUCCCAUCAGCUUGUUGGUAGUGUAAGAGACUACCAAGGCAAUGACGGGUAGCGGGUUUGAGAGGAUGAUCCGCCACACUGGUACUGAGACACGGACCAGACUCCUACGGGAGGCAGCAGUGAGGAAUAUUGCACAAUGGGGGAAACCCUGAUGCAGCAACGCCGCGUGGAGGAUGACGCAUUUCGGUGUGUAAACUCCUUUUAUAUGUCAAGAAAAUGACGGUAGCAUAUGAAUAAGCACCGGCUAACUCC